GUCAUUUUCCAUCCACUUUACAGAAGAGGAAACUGAAGGAAAGAGCUGUUAACUUAAAUCCUCAAGGUCAUAUUGCUGUGUCUUGCCCACCAAAGUCCAUGAAGGAAGAAACUGUUUAUUUCUGUCUCUGUCAGACAGCCUAGCACAGAGCCUGGCACAUGAUAAGAAAGUAAUAAAUAGAAAUUGGAAG
rnacentral:lncRNA from 1 species